GAUGAAACCCCAUUUCCCUUGCGAUCAUCGAAGUUAAGCAACGUCAAGCCUGGUUUGUACCCAGAUGGGUGUCUGCUUGGGAAUACCAGGUUA